AAACCCCAAUCUCUCUCUCGCUCUCUUUCUCUCUCUAAUCUAAGACGGAACAAACUGACUCACUACCAGGUAGAAACCCCAACCUCUCUCUCUCUCUCUCUCUCUAAAAUCUCAAUUGAACACUUCCAGUUUCCACCACCGGAGGCUGUCGUUACUAUAUCUGCAGUCAAUCAAAAUCAAGAAUCAAGAUACUCUGUUUCUCUUUCUUUUUUUUUUUGGAUAAAGUGAAGGAAGGAGACUGAAGGAUCAAGGAUGGAUAGAUAGGGUAGGUAAAGAUUGAUCAUCUUGGUACUCUGGUUGUGUUUGAAUGCUGUUCCCUCAUGAACCAACAACAACUGCAUCAGCAGCACCAUCACCCCAACUUCCAUCAACCUUCUCAAGGUCCUACUCUCCCUCCUCAGCCGCAGCCCUUUCAAUCUCAGGUCUCUGUUUCGCUCUCUUCCAUGGGGGAGCAAGCUCAACCCCAACCUCCAGUCCAGACUCAAAUUAAUCCUGAACCCCAACCUCAACCUCAACCCCAACCUCAACCUCAACCCCAACCCCAACCCCAGCUCUCAAUUCAGCCUCAAACUCAACCCCCAGCCCCAAUUCAGACACAAUCUCAGUCCCAACCCAAAUUCCAACCUCAGAUUCAACUACCCCAACCCCAGCCCCAGCCCCAGCCCCAGCCCCAUCCUCAGCCUCUGCUUCAACCCCAUCCCGAGCCCCAUCCCGAGCCCCAACCCGAAACCCAAACUCAGGCCCUGCCAGAUGAUCAUCCUCAACUUCAACAGAACAUCACUACUGAAGCGGUAGAAGGCACAACCACCGUUGCUCCGCCGCAGAAAUCUUCGGCGACUAAGAUCCCUUUUCGGCCUCGAAAGACCAGGAAGGUGUCCGGGGAGUUCUCUACCGAUAACUCUGAAAACAAAGCUCCCCAUGCCGUGGACGGAGAUAAUGCUAAUCCGACUCCGCUGACCAACACGACCACCGGCAACAACAAGAAGAACAGCAGGGGCAGUAAAAUCCCCACCAUCCCCACUGCGGUCUCCGCCACCGUCACCACCACAAGCGCCGCCAACAACGAUAGCAGGAUCAUGGUACAGCCGAUUAGGGUUAUUCCGAGAAUCGUCGGCAAGACAUUAUCUUGCGAUGGAGAGGUUGCAGCUGCUAUUCGGCAUUUAAGGUCCGUGGACCCACAGCUAGCGCGUGUGAUCGAUGUCCAUCAGCCGCCUUCUUUUGACACAUUUCACCCACCGUUCCUAGCCCUCACCAAGAGUAUCCUCUACCAGCAGCUCGCCUUCAAGGCUGCGACCUCCAUCUAUACGCGAUUCGUUGCCCUCUGUGGUGGCGAGACUGGGGUAGUUCCCGAUGCCGUCCUCACCCUCUCUCUCCACCAACUCCGUCAGAUCGGCGUUUCUGCCCGUAAAGCCAGCUACCUGCAUGACCUCGCCAGCAAGUACCGCAAAGGGAUCCUUUCUGAUUCUUCCAUCAUUGACAUGGACGAUAAGUCACUCUUCUCAAUGCUCACCAUGGUCAAGGGCAUUGGAUCCUGGUCUGUGCACAUGUUCAUGAUUUUCUCUCUUCACCGACCGGAUGUUCUCCCCGUCGGUGAUCUUGGUGUUCGGAAGGGGGUUCAGCUCCUCUAUGGUCUUGAACAAUUGCCUCGGCCUUCCCAGAUGGAACAACUCUGUGGGAAGUGGAAGCCUUAUCGCUCUGUUGGGGCCUGGUACAUGUGGAGGUUCGCUGAAGCCAAAGGGGCUCAAGCGUCGGCCGCAGCAAUGGCAGUUGGUGCUAGUCCGCAGUCGCUUCAGCAGCAACAACAGCAACAGCAGCAGCAGCAGCAGCAGCAGCCAUCACAGCUACAGCUGCAGCCACAGCAGCAGCAGCAGCAACAACAUCAGCUUCUAGAUCCUAUCAAUGGGAUUGCUAGCCUCGGGUCGCCACAGAGGAAGAGUUGUCUCCACCACCACCUCCUCCUCCACUAGUUGCUCCAUAGGUUUAUACUCGUCCAGUUCGGGAAGCAUCAGCACCCCCUCUCCCUGCGGAACCUACCUUAUCAUCUUCAUCUAUGGAUCCUACUCCAGGGCCUGUGCAUGGGGACAGUGAUUGGGAAGGAUGGUAAGAGAUGGCAAUGUGUUUUCCCAUUGUUAUGUCUGCUGUGCUAUUGUCCUUCAAUCAGUUUGAGGAGUACUGCAACAUAAUUUUAUGAAGAUACUGAUCCAAGGAAUAGGAAGAGAAAGCUUGCGCAUUCGAGCUUAAGAGGUUCUUAGAUAUGUAUGCUCUGUUUUUCAUUAUACUAUGCUCUUAAUAAGAGUGCGUGUGCUUAUAACUUGUCUAAGUCACAAGAUGCCAAUUUGAAAUCAUUAGCUGUUUCUGAAGGGACUACUCAAUUAGUUUCAUCUGAUGCUUGCCGACCUUGUCUAAAACCUUCUUUAAUCAAUGAAAAGUUCCAUCACUUAUUGAA